rnacentral:misc_RNA from 1 species
GGACCAAUUUGUUGGUCGUGCCUUGGUACGUACUGGUAUUAUUGGUUUCUCCCUUCUGAAGAACCUUGAUGUCAUUAAUUUGGUGUCUUGGAGAAUCAGGACUGUUACUUUGAAAAAAUUAGAGUGUUUAAAGCAGGCAUACGCUUGAAUACAUUAGCAUGGAAUAAUGAAAUAGGACAUCCGAUUCUAUUUUGUUGGUUUCUAGGAUCGAUGUA